rnacentral:rRNA from 1 species
AUUGAACGCUGGCGGCAUGCCUUACACAUGCAAGUCGAACGGCAGCGCGGACUUCGGUCUGGCGGCGAGUGGCGAACGGGUGAGUAAUGUAUCGGAACGUACCAUUGAGUGGGGGAUAACGUAGCGAAAGUUACGCUAAUACCGCAUAUUCUCUCCGGAGGAAAGCAGGGGACCGCAAGGCCUUGCGCUCUUUGAGCGGCCGAUAUCAGAUUAGCUAGUUGGGGGGGUAAAAGCUCACCAAGGCGACGAUCUGUGGCGGGUCUGAGAGGAUGGUCCGCCACACUGGACCUGAGACACGGUCCAGACUCCUACGGGAGGCAGCAGUGGGGAAUUUUGGACAAUGGGGGCAACCCUGAUCCAGCCAUGCCGCGUGAGUGAAGAAGGCCUUCGGGUUGUAAAGCUCUUUCGGCCGGGAAAAAAUCGCAUGGAUUAAUACUCUGUGUGGAUGAUGGUACCGGAAUAAGAAGCACCGGCUAACUACGUGCCAGCCGCCGCGGUAA